rfam:Rhodococcus jostii RHA1, complete genome.
ACCGGAGUCCCGACGAAGCAUUCCAGGGACGAGGACGGGGGACCCAAAGUCCUCCAGGGAACGCAAGUUCUCAGACGGACACCGGCCCGAAUGUGCUUCGCACACUCGGAUCUUGGGGUGAAGCCAGACCCUCUCCAGCCAGGAGAGGCGAGGCCGGGCGACCUCUCAGCCCGAACCCGACAGCUGACCUCGCAGGCGCGUGUGGAGAGGAUCU